AAAACCGACCCUCCAUCAAAAGGUCAGAAAUACCAAAAUACUGACACCCGACCCUCCAUCACAAGGUCAGAAAUACAAAAAUAUCGACAGUCUACCCUCCAUCACAGGUUCAGAAAAACCAAAAUACCAACAACCCACGCUCCAUCACAAGGUCAGACAUACCAAAAUUCCGACACGCGACCCUCCAUCACAAGGUCAGAAACAACAAUAUGCUGUCACCCGACCCUCCAUCACACGGUCAGAAAUGACAAAAUACAGACAACCGACUCUCCAUCACAAGGUCAGAAAUACCAAAAUAGCAAAAACCGUCCCUCCAUCACAAGGCCAGAAUUCCCAAAAUAACGACAACCGACGCUCCAUCACAAGGUCAGAAACACCAAAAUACCAACAACAGGCCCUCCAUCACAAGGUCAGAAAUACCAAAAUAGCAAAAACCAUCCCUCCAUCACAAGGUCAGAAAUACAAAAAUACCGACUACCGAUCCUCCAUCACAGGGUCAGAAAUACCAAAAUACCAACAACCGACUCUCCAUCACAUGGUCAGAAAUACCAAAAUACCGACAACCGACCCUCCAUCACAGGGUCAGAAAUACUAAAAUACCAACAACCCACCCUCCAUCACAAGGUCAGAAA